GCUUGAUGGCGUAUAUUAGAGUGAGAGUCUGAGAGACUGUGGGGAGGCCGAUUGAGAGACUGAGAACGAGAGAGAGAGUGAGAGAAAGAGAGCUAACACUGGGAGGGAGAUCCAAGCAGGGAAGCUUUUGGGGAGGAGAUAGAUUACGUGCAAGUCGGCUUUCGAACCAAGGAUUUAAUUGGCGUCCUAGCUUACCAAGAAGAAACCAAGAGUAAGGUACCCGCACAGGAGAGCAGGCGGAAGGGCCCAGUUCAUCCAAAGGAAAAAAGAAGCUGGUGGAAGCUUAGCUAAGGUGGCAGGAAAGAAGAGCUUAGUGUUUAGUUAGUUAGUUAAUCUGGAAUAUUUUUGUGUUUGUUUCCCAGCUUAGUGUUUAGUUAGUUAGUUAAUUUGGAAUAUUUUUGUGUUUGUUUCCCCCUUCCUUUUAUGAUGCCUAUAUUUCAUUUUGUGAGGUUAUGUAAUUUCCACUAUGGGAUGUAUGUACCUCUAUAAGGAGUAGUGUGUUGGGGUAACUUAACAUAACUGGGGACUUAGCAUACAUAUA